GAUCAUGGCUCAGAUUGAACGCUGGCGGCAGGCCUAACACAUGCAAGUCGAACGGUAACAGGAAGCAGCUUGCUGCUUUGCUGACGAGUGGCGGACGGGUGAGUAAUGUCUGGGAAACUGCCUGAUGGAGGGGGAUAACUACUGGAAACGGUAGCUAAUACCGCAUAACGUCGCAAGACCAAAGAGGGGGGACCCUUCGGGCCGUCUUGCCAUCGGAUGUGCCCAAGUGGGAUUAGGUAGUUGGUG
rnacentral:rRNA from 1 species